rnacentral:lncRNA from 1 species
UUUUUAAACAAGAAUAUCAGAGUAACAGCGGACAAAAGAAGUAUGUUCAAUAAAUUAUUUCCUUAACUUUCCAACUCAAAAUACAUAUGCCGAAUUUUGUCUGUUCCAAUUUAUUGCACUUUAAAGAAUUCACUAACCAUUGUUUCUCUGAGAUGUUCCUCUGGGAGUGAUCCACAUCUAAUAACGUCUUGGAGUCAGCUUGGAAAGUUUGCAAACAUGAAUCAAACUGAAGUGCUUUUGGAUAGCGUUUGAGGAAAGCCAGGGCGACUGUAUGCUGGAAAGGAAUCUCAGGAGUGAGCUGUCCAGUUGUUGAUCUUCCAGCGAGGCUUAGCUUGCCCGUGGGUCUCCUCUUUUCACUUUCCUUCCUUCUUGGGAACUGACAAGAGUUUUGCAAAAAGCCUGGUUGUCAUGGUGCUAUAGAAUUACAGCAUUGUUAAGGUAAACCAGAUUUUGCUGUAUAAAAUCAGCAGAUACCAUAACUUGCCCAAGUGUAAUUUUUUUUCCUGGUCCUUUAUCUUUCUUCCUUACGUUUUGGUAUACCAGCAAAGAGAAGUCUGAAACCAUCUAGACAAAAUAAAGCAUGAAAUACGU